CUCAAGUAAAAAUUAUUUAUUAAUUUGUAUAUAAUUACAUAUUAGGAGUAAGGUUUACUGUUACCUGCAGGGAGCAGAACUUGCAUAGCUUUCACCUAAUAUAACCUAACCUAACCUAACCUCCGAUCUGAAUUGAUCGGAGGGACUUUGGUUUUACAUAUGGGAGUUUUGUCGAUGGGUUUACAACCCGUCACAGAAAAAACAUUCAAAAAUUCUGCCUUAGAAUAGUCGAUCACAUGGUUCUAGGCUAGAAAUUGGGAAAUAGGCUUUACAUGUUUGUAAAUGGAAUAUACG